rnacentral:rRNA from 1 species
UACGUAGGGGGCUAGCGUUGUCCGGAAUCAUUGGGCGUAAAGCGCGCGUAGGCGGCCCGGUAAGUCCGCUCUGAAAGUCCAGGGCUCAACCCUGGAAUGCGGGUGGAUACUGCCGGGCUAGAGUCCGGAAGAGGCGAGUGGAAUUCCUGGUGUAGCGGUGGAAUGCGCAGAUAUCAGGAGGAACACCAGUGGCGAAGGCGAGUCCCUGGACAACUCCUGACACUGAGGCACGAAAGCUAGGGGAGCAAACAGG